UACACGCUGUGACUAGCAUAUCAAUAAGCGGAGGAAAAGAAACUAACAAGGAUUCCCCUAGUAACGGCGAGUGAAGCGGGAAGAGCAUCAAAUUUGAAAUCUUAAAGGGUUUCCCUUUACGAAUUGUAGUUUAAAGAAGUGUUCUCUGUUGAGGUUUUGGUAAAAGCUCUUUGGAAUAGGACAUCAUAGAGGGUGAGAAUCCCGUAUUUGACCUUUACUUUCAACUUUGUGAUACACCUUCAAAGAGUCAGGAUUGUUUGGGAAUGCAGUCCAAAAUGGGUGGUAAAUUUCAUCUAAAGCUAAAUAUUGGCGAGAGACCGAUAGCGAACAAGUACCGUGAGGGAAAGAUGAAAAGAACUUUGAAAAGAGAGUUAAACAGUACGUGAAAUUGUCAAAAGGGAAGCGUUUGACACCAGUGUUGUUUUUCUGAAAAUCAAUUAAAGAACUGUUUAUGCUAAGCUGUUUAGACUUUAUCAGCUAUCUGUUUAGUUUUGAGCUUUUCUUUAAUGCACCUUUCAGUUAACAAGUCAACAUCAAUUUCUUUUGCUGUAAAAAAGCUUGAGGAAGGUGGCUUGAGAUUCGUCUUAAGUGUUUAUAGCCUCUUGCCUAUGCAGUCGGAGAGAUUGAGGUCUGCAGCGUAGAUCCUUCGGGGCUAAAUGCAUUUGUGCUAAGUUAUAGCAUUUUAUAGACAACUUGUUGACUAUGAUUUGUCUUGUAGCUUACUCGCUUAUGUUAUUUUACCUACGCUUAGGAUGUUGAGUCGUAGAGCACGCAG
rnacentral:rRNA from 1 species